rnacentral:misc_RNA from 1 species
UUUUGAUCCUCUUCAAAUGUGCUUCAUUUAUGGUAAUUUUACAUUUCUACAAAAUGAAUAAGCUAUAUUGCUUGCUCUUUACUAUCGUGGUUUUGCAAUAACACCAUAAGUUGUAGUCCUAAUCAACAUGAAUAUUAUAUAUGGUGAUGUAGCAUGUAAUAUCAGCAUGGACAUUAUGUGGUGCCAAAAAUAAAGCUCUAUUGACGAUUUAUUUUUAAUUGGAUGCAUAAAAGUCAGAAUGUCUUUGCAGCUGAUUGAUGAUCUGGUGGAGGAGGUUAUUUGUUUCCAUUUUUUAUUAAGAUUUAAUGGAGCAAGUGGCUUGAGUGUGAACUAGGAGUAAUGAAAAUAGAGAGGGCUAUUUGGCUUGUAGUAGGCCUGAUGAACAGA